AGAAAGGUGCAUCAUGAUAGUUGGGUAACUGGGCCAAGAGGUGACUGACUCAGUGAUCCAAGGCAAAGGAACGGCAGGUACAACCAAGAACAAUGAAAAUCCCAGAUGAUCCAAAAGUAUCCUUUGAGAAUUUUAUGAGUUAUAGAAUGAGUUUUCAUCAACCCAAAUUCCAGACUACACCUGAGCCUUUCCAUGAUGACAUCCCAACAGAAAGCAUUCACUACAGACUGCCCAUUCUGGGCCCCAGGACAGCUGUCUUCCACGGAUUACUGACAGAGGCCUACAAAACUCUAAAAGAGAGACAACGUUCUUCCUUGCCCAGAAAGGAACCAAUAGGCAAGACAAUGAGGCAGUGAGCGGUAGGAGCUCAUCACCUCCCAGACUCCCAGAGAGAAAAUAACCUCACCAAGCCAAUCUUUGACAGUGGCACCUUCUCAAAAUUUUCUCUCCUCUCCCAAAAGAUGAUUUAAUUUUGCCUUCCUAAGAUUGCUGGUAUUCUAGCUCUUACCUCUAUCUUCUCUCUCACGUCUCCUAAAGACAAAAUGGUUUAAUUUACAUGAUUAUAAAGAUCUGUUGAUGAAAAUGG
rnacentral:sRNA from 1 species